GGCAGUUCUCAGGUGAUGCACCCCAGAAUCGGGCUCCCUCCUCUCUGGUUCCAGGGUGCAUCACCUGAGAACCACC
rfam:Myotis davidii contig180271, whole genome shotgun sequence.